rnacentral:rRNA from 1 species
UUGUGGGGCGGUGCGCGAGCCGCGGGAGGGCGGACGGUGGUGAACUUACUCGGAAUCAGUGGGCUUAAAGGGCGCGGAGGCGGGCUCGCCAGGCAGGGGUGGAAGCCCACGGCUCAACCGUGGAGGGGCCUUUGAUACUGCGGGCCUCGAGGGAGGUAGGGGCGUGCGGAACUUCCGGUGGAGCGGUGAAAUGCGUAGAUAUCGGAAGGAACACCGGUGGCGAAAGCGGCGCGCUGGACCUCUUCUGACGCUGAGGCGCGAAAGCCAGGGGAGCAAACGGGAUUAGAUACCCGAGUAGUC